CCUACGGGAGACUGCAGUCGAGAAUCAUUCACAAUGGGGGAAACCCUGAUGGUGCGACGCCGCGUGGGGGAAUGAAGGUCUUCGGAUUGUAAACCCCUGUCAUGUGGGAGCAAAUUAAAAAGAUAGUACCACAAGAGGAAGAGACGGCUAACUCUGUGCCAGCAGCCGCGGUAAUACAGAGGUCUCAAGCGUUGUUCGGAAUCACUGGGCGUAAAGCGUGCGUAGGCUGUUUCGUAAGUCGUGUGUGAAAGGCGCGGGCUCAACCCGCGGACGGCACAUGAUACUGCGAGACUAGAGUAAUGGAGGGGGAACCGGAAUUCUCGGUGUAGCAGUGAAAUGCGUAGAUAUCGAGAGGAACACUCGUGGCGAAGGCGGGUUCCUAGACAUUAACUGACGCUGAGGCACGAAGGCCAGGGGAGCGAAAGGGAUUAGAUACCCUUGUAGUC
rnacentral:rRNA from 1 species